GUAGUUUACGUCAGAGUUCUGCAGAUUUUGUGGUAGGAAUGGCAUUGAAGGAAUGGGAGGUCACAGGUGUAGGGCUACUGUUAGAGGAAUAUAUGGGAUUUUGGGUAAGUAUUUCAGAAGAUUUGGCUGUUAAAGCACUUAUGAGUGCUUGUACUUUCCCUCUUUGGGGGAUGUCCUUUUCGUUCGUGUGGUUUGAUUUGGCAGGUAUACUUGAUGAAUGGUUGGUUUUACUUGAUGAAUGAAUUUUUCUUUUGUUUGUAUCGUUACUGGAGAUGUCGUUGGUUUGUAACGAUUUGGAAAUUAUCAGGUUGGCAUUGGUUGCUAGGGGUUUGGGGUUUUCCUGUUGUGAAUGGACGAGAGGUUUGGUUGAGGUGUAGUUGAUGUGGUGGAUUUAGUUAGGUUAUGGUUGAGGAGGGAUGAAGUAGUUGCAGUAGGGGUUUUAGGGUUAGUAAGGGUAGUACUUGUUGAUUUGGUAGAUAUUGUAUUUGUAGUUGGUAGGUGUAUUUGGUUUAGUUUUGCUGGGGAAGUAGAUUGUGGAUUUGCUAUUUCCGCGUUAGUCAACUGUGCAUGUAUAGUUUGAGGAGUGACAAUGGUAUUGUUAUUGUUUUGUAGUUGGGUUGUAAUUUGAUUAGUUUCGUUGGCUGUCGUGGGUGUAUUUGGGAGGGAUGUUUCUUGGUAGUUUUCUAGUUUGGAAAAAUUGUUAUGGGUUUUGGGUGGUAAAAUUGGGUUUUUUGUAGUAGUUGUUGAAAAUUGUUUUUUGCUAUUUUUGGGGAAGGUUACUGUUGUCCAUGGGCCUUCCGAUACCUCAAUGUGAUUUUCCUUGAAAUUUUUUUCUUUUCCAUUUUUUUUCUGAUCUUUUUCUUUUUUUUCAUUUUCUUUUUUUUCUUCUUUUUUUUCAUUUUUUGCAGUAGUCGAAGAAGUACCUUGUUCCAUGUUUGAUGAACUGUUGCAGUGGUACAGUGUGAGUCCUAGGCAUCCACAGCUUUGACAUAGAGGAGUUGAGCUCUCAUAGUGAAUUUUCUGUAGGUGCUUGCCAAUGAGUAUAUCCCUGGGCACUGGUUUUCCUAGCUGGACUAAUAUACAAAGUCUUGCAUAACGUCCUCUACUAGUGUUCCUUGUGCAGCUAUCUAUUUUUAGUAUUGAUCCAAUUUGACUUCCUAUUUUUCGGAGGAUUGUCAAGUCGUAGUAUUCUGUUGGCAAUUCUGGCAGUCGUAUCCAAAUAGUUGAAAAAGGCGUUUGAUCAUUAGUGGGAUUGAAUUUUGGCUCCCAUUUUCUAACGGAGAGAAAUUGUGAUCCUAUAAACCAAGGGCCUUGGUUUAAGAUUUUUGCAUAAUUUUCUGAGGUUGUAAAUUUGAAUAGAUAAUAGUCUUCACCAAGAUCUAUCAAGUUUAAAUCCUCAUUUAGGUUCCAAAGGGUUUUUAGUUUAUUUCUAAGUAGCAUGAAUCCUAACCGUUUUUCUAGCAGUUUUACUAUCUCUGUAUGUUGCCAUGGUUCGUAGAGUCUUGUUUUUUCUGAUGAGGAGAUUGGUAUGAAGAAGGGGUGUUUAGUUGGGUUAUCAUGUUCAUCAUCUAGAUUAAAAUGAGCAAAAUCGUGUUGUAUGCUAUCUGCUGGGAUGAAGCAAUUAUCUAUUAGAAGUUUGUCACGAAACCUUACUUUAUUUUCAGUCGGUUGCUGAUAAUUAUUUGUACUUCUAUUGAGUAGAUCUUCUUCUUGAUCGGACAUGUGAUCAUCAGUUGAACCCAUUGGAAAAGCUUGAUAUUGUUAAUUCGAAGAAACUCCAAAUUUUCCUCAGGAUAAGGCUCAGG
rnacentral:lncRNA from 1 species